UUCAGUGGAUCAAAGGCUAAGAUCGCAACAUCCUGUUGCUACGCCUUUGUGACCUGCUUCCUGCUGG
rfam:Bacillus galactosidilyticus strain PL133 scaffold000113, whole genome shotgun sequence.